rnacentral:rRNA from 1 species
CCUACGGGGCGCAGCAGUGAGGAAUAUUGGUCAAUGGGCUAAGGCCUGAACCAGCCAAGUCGCGUGAGGGAAGACGGUCCUAUGGAUUGUAAACCUCUUUUGUCGGGGAGCAACGAGGCCACGUGUGGCCGAAGUGAGAGUACCCGAAGAAAAAGCAUCGGCUAACUCCGUGCCAGCAGCCGCGGUAAUACGGAGGAUGCGAGCGUUAUCCGGAUUUAUUGGGUUUAAAGGGUGCGCAGGCGGUCUGUUAAGUCAGCGGUCAAAGCCCGGGGCUCAACCCCGGCCCGCCGUUGAAACUGGCAGUC